CCCAACUGCGCGCUAACC
rnacentral:snRNA from 1 species